CACGUUGAAUCACCGGUUCUCGUGCGAUAACCGAAGUUAAGCAACGUCGAGCUUGGGCAGUACCUAGAUGGGUGACCGCUUGGGAAUUCC